CAGGUCGUAGGUUGAAUAUUCGAUAGGCGAACGCCUGGUUAACGGUACCUCACCGGGUGCCUCCCCGAGGUUUUGACAAUCCACGUCGUAGGCAAUCGAGCCUGCAGCGUCUGGCAUACCGCGCGCUCCUGCCGAGGAUCCGCACCGUCUCGCGAACGAUCACCGAGGACGGUAACUCCUCGGAAUAAGGAGAGACGGGACGGAGAAAGAGAGUAAGAAGGAGAGAAAUAAGGAAAAAGAAAGUGAAGGAGUGAAAAAGAUAGAGAGAGAGAGAGAGGGGGGGGAACAUGAUGGGAGAUAAGGUGGGCGGCGGAUGCUGUGAAGAAGAGAUGAAGAGAGGAUGGGGAGACUCCGAGGAGACGCGAGCAAUCGGCAUAUAUCCGAAGACUCGGACGAGAGGUGUAUGUGCAUCGAGAAUUCAAAUAAAUCGCUAAUCGAAGCUGUCAGUGUACCUGCCACCCAGACAAAUUCCGACUAUUAAGCGUCCGAAUGUCGUCGUCGUCGUCGUCGUCGUCGUCUUGGUUGUGAACCCGCUCCGAGGCCCCCGUAUACCACGACUUCGCCGAGGGAAUAUAAUGGUGGACCGUGGAUUGACCCUUGCGGUACUCCCACCAUCACCAAGGCAAGGCACCGCCAUCACCUACGCCACACGAAGCACUGUGCCGACGACACCGACUCGCACGACCACCGACUCGCCUGGCGAAGUCGAGAGAGACGCGCGCAACGCCUAUGUAGUUUACUUCGAGGCCCGAGCUAUACGUGCCGGGGUCAUAUUCUCAUCGGCGAUGCAUGGCCGCCGGUACAGUCGACGGGAACAGUCGGCCAACCGGCUGGCCCCGGAGAAGCGCGCGUCGCGAGGAAAAAAAUAUCUGGCACACGGGUCAGCCGCGAUUUUCAACGCUCGUAGUCCACGCCCGUGACUUCUUAGCGCGCAAGAAGAGUCCUGGAAACCCGGUGAAUCAAAUAAUCCGAAUGCAAUCUACUCGAUAAAAAGAUGCAAACGACGCUUUGUCUCAAUAAAUAUGCGAUGGACAAGGAUGCCUCAUGCGUUAUCGGUAGAUCACAACUUAUAGUAAUCUUGUCGAGCUUAAAAGAAGGCCAUGGACGAAGGUUAUGAUGAUCACACGAAUGACGUUAUAAAUUGAUCGAAGCGGAGAUGAUCGGUUUCUAUUUUUAAAUAUAUUCUCGAAUAUACGAUACUGUAAGAAUUUAUCAUUCAAUGUUAAAUCAUUUAUGACGAUAUAUAAUACAAAUAAAGAAGAUCAAUUUUGG